rnacentral:lncRNA from 1 species
AGUUCUCUCAUUUGUUCUUUUUAUUGUCUGUCUCUUCCUUCCAGAAUAUGCAUUCCAGGAGAGCAGGGAUAUUUGUUUUGUUCCCCGAUGUAUCCCCUGGAUCUAGCACAGGACUGGCAGACGGAGUUUCACCAUGUUGGCCAGGAUGGUCUCUGUCUCUUGACCUCGUGAUCCGCCCGCCUUGGACUUCCAGAGUGCUGGGAUUACAGGCAUGAGCCACCACGCCCAGCCUUGUUUUUGUAUAUUUUGUAGAGACAGGUCUUACUAUGUUGCCCAGGUUUGUCUUGGAGCUCCACUCCAAGGUGGAGCUCAAGCGAUCCACCUGCCUCAGCCUCCCAAAGUGCUGGGAUUACAGAUGUGAGCCACCAUGCCCAGCCUUCAUGGGUUUCCCUAGGAUCACCAGCUGUCAUGGACUGAUUUGUGUCUCUCCAAAUUCAUAUGUUGAAUACUUAACCUGCCAUGCGAUUGUGAUUGGAGAUAAUUCCUUUAGGGAAGCAAUGAAGGUUAAAUGAGGUCAUAGGUGGGAGCUUAAUCCAAUGGGACUGGGGUCCCUACAAGAAGAGGAAGACACCAGAGCUCUCUGUCUCCACACACAGAGAAAAGAGGCUGUAUGAGGACACAAGAGAAGGUAAUAGCUGUCUACAAACCAAGAAGAGAAGCCUCUCCAGAAAAUGAACCCUGCUGGAACUUGGUCUUGGACUUUCCAGCCUCCAGAACUGGGAGAAAAUAAAGUUCAAAAUAAAGUUCUGUUGUGUAAGCCCCCGAGUCCAUGGUAUUUUGUUAUGG